UUGAACGCUGGCGGCAUGCUUUACACAUGCAAGUCGAACGGUAACAGGUUAAGCUGACGAGUGGCGAACGGGUGAGUAAUGCAUCGGAACGUGCCCGAUCGUGGGGGAUAACGCAGCGAAAGCUGUGCUAAUACCGCAUACGAUCUACGGAUGAAAGCGGGGGAUCGCAAGACCUCGCGCGGACGGAGCGGCCGAUGGCAGAUUAGGUAGUUGGUGGGAUAAAAGCUUACCAAGCCGACGAUCUGUAGCUGGUCUGAGAGGACGACCAGCCACACUGGGACUGAGACACGGCCCAGACUCCUACGGGAGGCAGCAGGGGGGAAUUUUGGACAAUGGGCGAAAGCCUGAUCCAGCCAUGCCGCGUGCAGGAUGAAGGCCUUCGGGUUGUAAACUGCUUUUGUACGGAACGAAACGGUUCUCUUUAAUAAAGAGGGCUAAUGACGGUACCGUAAGAAUAAGCACCGGCUAACUACGU
rnacentral:rRNA from 1 species